UACGGGGGGGACGAGCGUUGUUCGGAUUUACUGGGCGUAAAGGGCGCGUAGGCGGACUUUCAAGUCGGAAGUGAAAACCGGAGGCUUAACCUCAGGCUUGCUUUCGAUACUGUCAGUCUUGAGUACAGGAGAGGAAAGCGGAAUUCCAGGUGUAGCGGUGAAAUGCGUAGAUAUCUGGAAGAACACCAGUAGCGAAGGCGGCUUUCUGGUCUGAUACUGACGCUAAAGCGCGAAGGCUAGGGGAGCAAACAGG
rnacentral:rRNA from 1 species